CCUACGGGAGGCAGCAGUAGGGAAUAUUCCACAAUGGGCGAAAGCCUGAUGCAGCAACGCCGCGUGAGUGAAGAAGGCCUUCGGAUUGUAAAACUCUGUUGUUAGAGAAGAAAGUGCGUGCGUGUCACUGUUAACGUUUCGCCGCUAUCUAACCAGCAAGCCCCGGCUAACUACGUGCCAGCAGCCGCGGUAAUACGUAGGUGGCAAGCGUUAUCCGGAUUUAGUGGGGGGAAAGGGAACGCAGGCGGGCAUUUAAGCCAGAUGUGAAAGCCUUUGGCUCAACCUGUGUAGUGCAUUGGAAACUGUGGUACGUGAGUGCAGGAGAGGAGAGUGGAACUCCAUGUGUAGCGGUGAAAUGCGUAGAUAUAAGGAAGAACACCAGUGGCGAAGGCGGCUCUCUGGACUGUAACUGACGCUGAGGUUCGAAAGCGUGGGUAGCAAACAGGAUUAGAUACCCUUGUAGUC
rnacentral:rRNA from 1 species